rnacentral:tRNA from 1 species
AGAGGCUUAGGAUAAUAUUAGACCAAAGGCCUUCAAAGCCUUAAGUGGGAGUUAAAAUCUUCCAGCCCCUG